CAAAAGAUAGUUUAAAUUAAAAUAAUAACAUUGGAAGUUAUAGAUUAAAAUUAUAAUUUUUAUUUUUUGA
rnacentral:tRNA from 1 species